rnacentral:rRNA from 1 species
ACUAUCGUUAACUGAAUACAUAGGUUAACGAGGCGAACCGGGGGAACUGAAACAUCUAAGUACCCCGAGGAAAAGAAAUCAACCGAGAUUCCCCCAGUAGCGGCGAGCGAACGGGGAGCAGCCCAGAGUCUGAAUCAGCUUGUGUGUUAGUGGAACGGUCUGGAAAGUCCGACGGUACAGGGUGAUAGUCCCGUACACCAAAAUGCACAGGCUGUGAACUCGAAGAGUAGGGCGGGACACGUGGUAUCCUGUCUGAAUAUGGGGGGACCAUCCUCCAAGGCUAAAUACUCCUGACUGACCGAUAGUGAACCAGUACCGUGAGGGAAAGGCGAAAAGAACCCCGGCGAGGGGAGUGAAAAAGAACCUGAAACCGUGUACGUACAAGCAGUGGGAGCACCUUCGGGUGUGACUGCGUACCUUUUGUAUAAUGGGUCAGCGACUUAUAUUCUGUAGCAAGGUUAACCGUAUAGGGGAGCCGCAGGGAAACCGAGUCUUAACUGGGCGUUAAGUUGCAGGGUAUAGACCCGAAACCCGGUGAUCUAGCCAUGGGCAGGUUGAAGGUUGGGUAACACUAACUGGAGGACCGAACCGACUAAUGUUGAAAAAUUAGCGGAUGACUUGUGGCUGGGGGUGAAAGGCCAAUCAAACCGGGAGAUAGCUGGUUCUCCCCGAAAGCUAUUUAGGUAGCGCCUCGUGAAUUCAUCUUCGGGGGUAGAGCACUGUUUCGGCUAGGGGGUCAUCCCGACUUACCAACCCGAUGCAAACUACGAAUACCGAAGAAUGUUAUCACGGGAGACACACGGCGGGUGCUAACGUCCGUCGUGAAGAGGGAAACAACCCAGACCGCCAGCUAAGGUCCCAAAGUCAUGGUUAAGUGGGAAACGAUGUGGGAAGGCACAGACAGCCAGGAUGUUGGCUUAGAAGCAGCCAUCAUUUAAAGAAAGCGUAAUAGCUCACUGGUCGAGUCGGCCUGCGCGGAAGAUGUAACGGGGCUAAACCAUGCACCGAAGCUGCGGCAGCGACACUAUGUGUUGUUGGGUAGGGGAGCGUUCUGUAAGCCUGCGAAGGUGNCCUGUGAGGGUUGCUGGAGGUAUCAGAAGUGCGAAUGCUGACAUAAGUAACGAUAAAGCGGGUGAAAAGCCCGCUCGCCGGAAGACCAAGGGUUCCUGUCCAACGUUAAUCGGGGCAGGGUGAGUCGACCCCUAAGGCGAGGCCGAAAGGCGUAGUCGAUGGGAAACAGGUUAAUAUUCCUGUACUUGGUGUUACUGCGAAGGGGGGACGGAGAAGGCUAUGUUAGCCGGGCGACGGUUGUCCCGGUUUAAGCAUGUAGGCUGGUUGUCCAGGCAAAUCCGGAUAAUCAAGGCUGAGGUGUGAUGACGAGGCACUACGGUGCUGAAGUAACAAAUGCCCUGCUUCCAGGAAAAGCCUCUAAGCAUCAGGUAACAUNAAAUCGUACCCCAAACCGACACAGGUGGUCAGGUAGAGAAUACCAAGGCGCUUGAGAGAACUCGGGUGAAGGAACUAGGCAAAAUGGUGCCGUAACUUCGGGAGAAGGCACGCUGGUGUGUAGGUGAAGUCCCUGCGGAUGGAGCUGAGACCAGUCGAAGAUACCAGCUGGCUGCAACUGUUUAUUAAAAACACAGCACUGUGCAAACACGAAAGUGGACGUAUACGGUGUGACGCCUGCCCGGUGCCGGAAGGUUAAUUGAUGGGGUUAUCCGUAAGGAGAAGCUCUUGAUCGAAGCCCCGGUAAACGGCGGCCGUAACUAUAACGGUCCUAAGGUAGCGAAAUUCCUUGUCGGGUAAGUUCCGACCUGCACGAAUGGCGUAAUGAUGGCCAGGCUGUCUCCACCCGAGACUCAGUGAAAUUGAACUCGCUGUGAAGAUGCAGUGUACCCGCGGCAAGACGGAAAGACCCCGUGAACCUUUACUAUAGCUUGACACUGAACAUUGAGCCUUGAUGUGUAGGAUAGGUGGGAGGCUUUGAAGCGUGGACGCCAGUCUGCGUGGAGCCAACCUUGAAAUACCACCCUUUAAUGUUUGAUGUUCUAACGUUGGCCCCUGACCGGGGUUGCGGACAGUGUCUGGUGGGUAGUUUGACUGGGGCGGUCUCCUCCCAAAGCGUAACGGAGGAGCACGAAGGUUAGCUAAUCCUGGUCGGACAUCAGGAGGUUAGUGCAAUGGCAUAAGCUAGCUUGACUGCGAGCGUGACGGCGCGAGCAGGUGCGAAAGCAGGUCAUAGUGAUCCGGUGGUUCUGAAUGGAAGGGCCAUCGCUCAACGGAUAAAAGGUACUCCGGGGAUAACAGGCUGAUACCGCCCAAGAGUUCAUAUCGACGGCGGUGUUUGGCACCUCGAUGUCGGCUCAUCACAUCCUGGGGCUGAAGUAGGUCCCAAGGGUAUGGCUGUUCGCCAUUUAAAGUGGUACGCGAGCUGGGUUUAGAACGUCGUGAGACAGUUCGGUCCCUAUCUGCCGUGGGCGCUGGAGAAUUGAGGGGGGCUGCUCCUAGUACGAGAGGACCGGAGUGGACGCAUCACUGGUGUUCGGGUUGUCAUGCCAAUGGCACUGCCCGGUAGCUAAAUGCGGAAGAGAUAAGUGCUGAAAGCAUCUAAGCACGAAACUUGCCCCGAGAUGAGUUCU